GACGAACGCUGGCGGCGUGCCUAAUACAUGCAAGUCGAACGCUGAAGAGAGGAGCUUGCUCUUCUUGGAUGAGUUGCGAACGGGUGAGUAACGCGUAGGUAACCUGCCUUGUAGCGGGGGAUAACUAUUGGAAACGAUAGCUAAUACCGCAUAACAAUGGAUGACACAUGUCAUUUAUUUGAAAGGGGCAAUUGCUCCACUACAAGAUGGACCUGCGUUGUAUUAGCUAGUAGGUGAGGUAAUGGCUCACCUAGGCGACGAUACAUAGCCGACCUGAGAGGGUGAUCGGCCACACUGGGACUGAGACACGGCCCAGACUCCUACGGGAGGCAGCAGUAGGGAAUCUUCGGCAAUGGGGGCAACCCUGACCGAGCAACGCCGCGUGAGUGAAGAAGGUUUUCGGAUCGUAAAGCUCUGUUGUAAGUCAAGAAAGGGUGUGAGAGUGGAAAGUUCACACUGUGACGGUAGCUUACCAGAAAGGGACGGCUAACUACGUG
rnacentral:rRNA from 1 species